CUUACGCAAAAAAUUUAAAGAAGCAAGAAUUCAAUUUGGUACUUGUAAACAUAAGCAAACAUAAAAUGAAAGACUUUUUUGAGCAAUAUUUGGUCAGUCUCUUAUCAGUGUACUGUGACCUCUGACCUGCUGACUGUUUGGUUCGUUGUAAUGUUGAUGAUUUAGGAAUCAACCGUAAGAGAAAAAGGGAGCUAAAUAGCUUUCUAAGUACACUUGUACCAUUUUUAUCCCGCCAAUGAACACAUUGUGAACUAACUAAAUUAGUUUCUAGGGUUACAGGUUAAGCUACACGCUGUUGCCUGUAGCGUCCUUGGCGCUAUCAGAGUUUAACGUUAGCAGCUCUGUCCUGCUCUUUAUACGAUUUGGGGGAGCAAUUAACGUUACCCAAGACAACGUCACAUUAUUACUCAUCCUAUAAGGCCAUUCUCUUGGGACAUUAAAGUCAGCCAAACAGGAUUGUUCAAGAAAAUAACUCAUUAUACUCGGACUAACUAGCUCGACACUGCAACACAGUUCUUUACGUUACCAACUGGUGAGGAUGAAGCUGACUUUUUAAGUUAACCUGUUAGCUUAGGCCUCAGGUCCUUAGCAUGGUAUCAUGUUAGUAGAAACCAAGUGCAUAUUUAAGCUUUUACAAGAAUCUUGUUUUAAAACAAGUCAGCUGGAACGGUUGAGAGGUUUUUAACCAGCCAUUAGCUUAAUCUAGCUAGCUAUCGUCAGGCGUCAUUUCAGCUGACAAAAUCAAAAGUUACGGGGUAGAAGUGGGAAGUCGGAUUUUAUCUUCCUACACAACUAUGUUUUUAUUCUUAUGGGUGUUUUAAGGCUUCAUUUAAGCACAAACAUUGAGAAGUUGAGCACCAAUUUUAGUGAUUAAGCAAUUUCCCUGUAACCACGCAAAAAAAACACGAUCUCCGUCCACAAAAGAGUUUUAGCUCCAGAAUCGGAACUAAUCUCCGUUCAUAUUAACACGUCUGACAACGCAAAUCACAUGAUCAUUCACACCCACUGGGCUGGUGUCACUAGGAGGCAGAUUGUCUGACGUUACUUUGCUGUUGAAAAUCAUGGAUGUAUAAACUGAAAAUAAAGAAAAUACUUUGGAGAAAGAAUCACAGUGGUGAAAAGUAAGA